rnacentral:tRNA from 1 species
GGCAGCUUGCGAAAAAGCAUCUUCAAUUCAUUGUUUUUGCUUCUUCCUUCAAAGCCCGUCUCAUAAGCGGGAGGUACUGGGUUCGAAUCCCAGAGCCGCCA